GAAAAAAUACAAUAUAUAUACACAGAUACACACAUACAAGGGAGAAGAUUUUUUUGGAAAAAAACAGGAACCAAAAAAGGACCUCAGCACAAAAAAAAAAAAGGACCGAAUCUCUCCUUCUCUCUCUAGACUCUCACUCUCUCUCUCAACAAGCUUCGCUGGCGAUCGACCAACGACCCCGUUGGCAUCCAUGGCUGACGCCAGUCAGCUCAGCACCGGCUAGCCCUCUCUUUCUCUCUCCCCGAACCAUCCUCUCUAUCGCCGCCACCCACCUACGAACUGGACCGCCGCCGGCGACCAACCAAACGACCUGAGCUACCAACGGUGGCAACAACAACACCAGCGCCGCCACGCUGCCAGCGACCAAACCACACCAUUAUCCUCCAGCUGCCGUUCAGAUCCGGUUUCUUCCGUCGUUGUCUGCAUCGUCGGAGGGGAAACAGUGAGAUCGGAGAGAAAGGUAUCUCCGGCGAGAUAUCACCGGGAAAUGUUGUCGCGGUCAGGUUCUCUCUGUUUUUCGUACGCGAUGGCAACGGCGAAAUCUGCCGGAAAACAGUGGAAAAAAAAGGUCACGGGCAGAUAUUAAGGCUUCGGGUUUUUCUUCUUGUUUAGAAUUCUAUUCUGACGGCGAUGUUGGGACAUUGAUUUGGUGUGUUCGACGUUGGGGGUUCUCCGUUUGAGGUUUUCGGCUCUCGGAUUUUCUUUAUUAUCAACGAUAGUGAGUUCUAUUAAGGUCCAUCUCUUUAACUUUACUCUUUCGUUUUCUCUAAUUUCGAUUAAUGCUGUGAUUUUGGUUUUGAUUGAAUUUUUUAGUAAGAUAUUGAUCGUUGUUGUGGAUACGUA